rnacentral:rRNA from 1 species
UAAGGAAUAUUGCUCAAUGGGAGAAAUCCUGAAGCAGCAACGCCGCGUGGAGGAUGAAGGGUCUAUGACUUGUAAACUCCUGUAAAGAAGGAAAAAAUUCCCAUGAGAUGGGAGAUGAUGGUACUUCUGGAGUAAGCCCCGGCUAACUGCGUGUCAGCAGCCGCGGUAAUACGUAGGGGGCAAGCGUUGGCCGGAUUUCCGGGGUGUACAGGGUGCUCAGGCGGAUUUGUAAGUCAGAGGUGAAAUCUUACAGCUUAACUGUGAAACUGCCUUUGAUACUGCAAGCCUAGAGUACGGAAGAGAGUGAUGGAAUAUCUGGUGUAGCAGUGAAAUGCGUAGAUAUCAGAUAGAACACCAAUGGCGAAGGCAGUCACUUGGUCCAUUACUGACGCUAAGGCACGAAAGCGUGGGUAGCAAACA